rnacentral:rRNA from 1 species
UACAGAGGUCCCAAGCGUUGUUCGGAUUCACUGGGCGUAAAGGGUGCGUAGGUGGCUUGGUAAGUCAGACGUGAAAUCCCUCGGCUUAACCGGGGAACUGCGUCUGAUACUGGAUGGCUUGAGUUUGGGGGAGGGACGCGGAAUUCCAGGUGUAGCGGUGAAAUGCGUAGAUAUCUGGAGGAACACCGGUGGCGAAGGCGGCGUCCUGGACCAAUACUGACACUGAGUGAGCGAAAGCCAGGGGAGCAAACAGG